CCCGCCGCCGCUGCCCCGCGCUCCGCCCCGUAACCGGGCCGGCACCCUGGUAGCUAAUGUCAGAAGAAAGUGACUCUCUGAGAACUAGCCCUUCUGUGGCCUCACUUUCCGAAAAUGAGCUGCCACCAGCACCCAAGCCUCCUGGCUACGUGUGCUCGCUGACGGAAGAACUGGUCGCCAAGGCCAGGGAAGAGCUGCAGGAGAAGCCGGAGUGGAGACUCCGAGAUGCGCAGGCCCUCCGAGACAUGGUGCGGAAGGAGUGCCCGGGCCUGCGCACCGCUCUGGACGACGCCUUCCUGCUGCGCUUCCUCCGGGCCCGCAAGUUCGAUUACGACCGGGCCCUGCAGCUCCUGAUCAACUACCACAGCUGCAGGCGGAGCUGGCCCGAGGUCUUCCAGAACCUGAAGCCGUCGGCCCUGAAAGAGGUCCUCGCUUCCGGAUUCCUCACCGUGCUGCCCCACACGGACCCGCGGGGCUGCCAUAUCCUCUGCAUCCGCCCAGACAGAUGGAUACCGAGCAGCUAUCCAAUCACCGAAAACAUCCGAGUCAUAUACUUGACAUUGGAAAAGCUCAUUCAAUCUGAAGAGACCCAAGUGAAUGGAAUUGUAAUUCUUGCAGACUACAAAGGAGUGAGCUUAUCAAAAGCAUCUCACUUUGGCCCUUUUAUAGCCAAAAAGGUGAUUGGCAUCCUUCAGGAUGGCUUUCCCAUUCGGAUAAAAGCGGUCCAUAUCGUGAAUGAACCUCGAAUAUUUAAAGGCAUUUUUGCCAUCAUAAAACCAUUUCUGAAGGAGAAAAUAGCAAACAGAUUUUUCCUCCACGGGUCUGACCUGAACUCUCUCCACACAAACCUUCCAAAAAGUAUUCUCCCCAAGGAGUACGGGGGCACAGCUGGCGAGCUGGACAUUGCUGCCUGGAACGCGGUGCUGCUGGCCUCGGAGGAGGACUUUGUGAGAGAGUUCUGCCAGCCUGUCCCCGCCUGCGACAGCAUCCUGGGGCGGGCCCUGCUGCCCGAGGGGCUGCCCUCAGAAGCGCAGUGUGAUGACUCCAUGCGGGCUGUGAAAUCACAGCUGUACUCCUGCUAUUAGCCAGUCCCUUGUGAGCACCACCAGCUUUCAGUCCUUUCCUUUUUUUCUUUGAGGAGGCACAGGAGAAUUUUAGGUGCCAUGGAUUCUUGCUCCUUGUAAUUAAGCCGCAGCAUGGAGGACAAGCUGAGCGUGAGCGAAAGGGCAUGCCCUUGAUCACUUGAAUUAUUCCAUGAAGACAUGGAAAACGUUCCCAGUGAUUCCCAAAUUUGUGGAAUACCAGUUUGCAACCAUUAAUAUGGAAGUUGUUUCUGGUUCUUAAACAUCUCAAAGCAGGAAGAAUGAGGACCAAAGUCACUUUGAUCCCAUCUUCAGGAGAAAACAACCCAAUUAGCCAGUCAGCACACUCCUAUGAAACACUUGGGUCCAGCCUGCAUGGUGGCCACAUGUGAGACUUUAGGAGUUUGUGUCUCUCACAUGAACCCUAACUCCAGACUUCAGUUGCUCAUCAGGAAUCUACAAGUUUUUAGCCCAGGGGUCGCGACCCACAGGUUGAGAACCGCUGCCUACAUGCAUGUGGCUGGAUCCUGUUUUCCGUGCUACACCUGAGCCUUUCCAAGAGGCAUGUGUCAGUCACCAUUUGGCCUGCCUUUAAAGAAACAAGUAUGUAUGUCCUGGAACUCAGUGAUACCAACCUCCUUUUUGUAGUGAGGGUUAAACUUGAAUGGCUUUUGUGAGGGCAGGCAGGUGAGAUGACCAGGAUCUUGUAUGAAUUCCAUCCCUGAGAUUCUGGUGGUAUAUUGUAAAGCUGGCAGCAGGGAAUGGUUAAGUUACUUGGGAUUCUGAAAUUUUGGUCUCUGGAAAUGAAUAAAGGGCAGGUUAUUGCUGGGUCACUUCUGAUGGCCCUGCCCUCCCAAACCCACGGAAUUUCUCUCUUUGUUGUGGAUGGGCACACUUUAAUCUGUCCAGCCAGGCUGGGUGUUUGUUCUGCAUUUCAAUACUUUAGACUCAUCCUGUCAAGAAUUUAGCCUUUGCCCGGGUGUCAUAUUAGUGGUUCACCUCGUGGCUUUUGACCUAUUUCCUUUCCUAUUCAUUCCAUGUAAACGAUGAUGUUAAAGUAACAAGUACUAUGUGUUGUGUGUGUGACUUCUCUGUGCACUUACUAGGCCACCAGGCAAGGUGUAAGUGAACAGUGCACCGAAAUUCAAAGGCCAGUCUCUUGCAAAUAAGCUGUUCAUCUUUAUAGCACUUUAAAAGUCUGGAGAAGUUGUUGGUAGAAGUUAGGUACCUCAUUAGUGCCAAUUCUAGGGAAAGUUCUUUUCACCAUAGAUACUAACCCUGGAUCCUCUAGGACCUGGCUUAGCUGAAAGUGUCAAAAUGCACACCCCUGGCUGCCUCUAGUUCCGUCUGACAGUGAUGGUGUGACCAGGAUUGCUGAAAAGAUCUAAACAGGACAAGUGGGGUGGCUAAUGUAGGUAGAGGUUCAGGACCCAUCUGCCUGGAUGGGAAAAUUAGUUAGAGGCUUUCCUAGUUCCCAAAGAGUUUUUU